rnacentral:rRNA from 1 species
CCUACGGGGGGCAGCAGUGGGGAAUAUUGGACAAUGGGGGGAACCCUGAUCCAGCCAUGCCGCGUGUGUGAAGAAGGCCCUCGGGUUGUAAAGCACUUUCAGUGAGGAAGAACGCCUGGUGGUUAAUACCCAUCAGGAAAGACAUCACUCACAGAAGAAGCACCGGCUAACUCCGUGCCAGCAGCCGCGGUAAUACGGAGGGUGCGAGCGUUAAUCGGAAUUACUGGGCGUAAAGCGCGCGUAGGUGGCUUGAUAAGCCGGUUGUGAAAGCCCCGGGCUCAACCUGGGAACGGCAUCCGGAACUGUCAAGCUAGAGUGCAGGAGAGGAAGGUAGAAUUCCCGGUGUAGCGGUGAAAUGCGUAGCGAUCGGGAGGAAUACCAGUGGCGAAGGCGGCCUUCUGGACUGACACUGACACUGAGGUGCGAAAGCGUGGGUAGCAAACAGGAUUAGAUACCCCUGUAGUC